rnacentral:rRNA from 1 species
UACGGAGGAUCCAAGCGUUAUCCGGAAUCAUUGGGUUUAAAGGGUCCGUAGGCGGUUUUGUAAGUCAGUGGUGAAAGCCCAUCGCUCAACGGUGGAACGGCCAUUGAUACUGCAAAACUUGAAUAAUAGGGAAGUAACUAGAAUAUGUAGUGUAGCGGUGAAAUGCUUAGAUAUUACAUGGAAUACCAAUUGCGAAGGCAGGUUACUAUCUAUUUAUUGACGCUGAUGGACGAAAGCGUGGGGAGCGAACAGG